UAGGGGGCAAGCGUUGUCCGGAUUUAUUGGGCGUAAAGAGCGUGUAGGCGGUUUGGUAGGUCCGCUGUGAAAACUCGAGGCUCAACCUCGAGACGACGGUGGAAACCAUCAGGCUAGAGUCCGGAAGAGGAGAGUGGAAUUCCUGGUGUAGCGGUGAAAUGCGCAGAUAUCAGGAAGAACACCCGUGGCUAAGGCGGCUCUCUAGUACGGUACUGACGCUGAGACGCGAAAGCGUGGGGAGCGAACAGG
rnacentral:rRNA from 1 species